AUGUUAGCAUUUAUUUAACGUUAGUACUAAUAUAUAAUUACCUAUUGACAUUUUUAUACUGCCUCUUCCUCUCCAUUUAGUCUUCCAUUUUAUUUCAAUCAACUUUUGCCUCCAUUUCGUACUAUUUGUAGUAUAUGCGUAAGUCAAACUCCACAUGGCAUCACCACUGCUAUACGCAUGAAGAACCCUGAAACAAUAAUUUACUAUUCCACAGGUGGUCGUUCGCUUCUCGAAUAUUCGAUGUUAAAUG
rnacentral:misc_RNA from 1 species